CCAGUUUAAUCUCAAAUCCAUCCCAGUCCCUCCCAGUUUAAUCUCAAUUCCAUCCCAGUCCAUCCCAGUUUAAUCCCAAUUCCAUCCCAGUCCCUCCCAGUUUAAUCUCAAUUCCAUCCCAGUCCAUCCCAGUUUAAUCCCAAUUCCAUCCCAGUCCAUCCCAGUUUAAUCUCAAUUCCAUCCCAGUCCCUCCCAGUUUAAUCUCAAUUCCAUCCCAGUCCCUCCCAGUUUAAUCUCAAUUCCAUCCAGUCCAUCCCAGUUUAACCUCAAUUCCAUCCCAGUCCAUCCCAGUUUAACCUCAAUUCCAUCCCAGUCCAUCCCAGUUUCAUCCCAAUCCAUCCCAGUUUAUUCCCAGUACAUCCCAAUCCAUCCCAGUUUAAUCUCAAGCCCAUCCCAGUCCAUCCCAGUUUAUUCCCAGUCCCUCCCCCAGCAGCACUUUUGGGCUAAACAGGGAUUUAUGAACAGAAAAAGCACCAAAAAAAAAUCGAUUUUUAAUCCCAAAUUCCCCCCAAAACGGCGCCGAGGCCGAAAUCCCGAGCGGGGCCGGGGCCUCCUCCCCCCUGAAACCAAAUAUUUACCAGUUUGUACCAGUUUGUACCAGUUUGCACCAGUUUGUACCAGUUUUCGCCAUUUUUCCCACCUUUUCCCCGCCUUUUCCCGCAUUUUCGCGCCAUUUUUUCGCCACUUUUUGCCAUUUUUCCCACCGUUUUCACCAUUUCCCGUCGCUUUUCACCAUUUCCCGCCACUUUUCACCAUUUCCCGCCGCUUUUCACCAUUUCCCGCCACUUUUCACCAUUUCCCGCCAUUUCCCCGCCAUUUUGUGCCGUUUUUCGCCUUUUUUUCACCGUUUUUCACCGUUUCCCGCCAUUUCUCGCCAAUCUUUCCGCUUUUUUUCCCCCCCCACUUUCACCAUUUUCACCCCUUUUCCCAAAUUUUCACCAUUUUCACCGUUUUUCCCAAUUUUUCACCGUUUUUCACCGUUUUUUACCGUUUUUCACCGUUUCCCACCAAUCUUUCGACUUUUUUUUUUCCAUUUCCCCUUUUCCCAUCACUUUUAUCAUUUCCCACAAUUUUUUUUUUACCGUUUCCCGCCGUUUUCCACCUUUUUCCACAACUUCCCACCACUUUCCCGCCACUUCCCCACCUUUUUUCCGCCACUUUUACCAUUUUUCACAACUUUCACGAUUUUUCGCCAUUUCCCCACCAUUUUUACCAAACUUUCCAUUUUUUCCCACCGUUUUUUACCAUUUUCCACCAUUUUCCCACCAUUUUUUUCGCCCUUUCUCCACUUUUUUUUCCAUCAUUUUCACGAUUUUUCACCAUUUUCCCGNNAUUUCCCCCCAAUAUUUCCACUAUUUUCCCUCCACUUUUACCAUUUUUUCUCCGUUUUUCCCCCUUUUUUUUCACCAUUUUCCCGCCAUUUUUUACCAUUAUUCCCAUUUUUCACUUUUCUCACCAUUUCCCACCUUUUUUUUCCUCAGAACUUUUCCACUUUUCCCAGGAAUUUUCCAAUAUUUUGGUUUUUUGAGGCGAUUUUCCCCCAAUAUUUUAUUUUUGACGCCUUUCCCGCCCCCACCCCCCAAUAUUUUGGAUUUUUAGGGGUUUUUUUUAAUCAAACAUUUAAUUUUAGGCACUUUCCCCCAAAUAUUUUGCUUUUUUUUGAGGCGAUUUUCCCCAAUAUUUCAGGUUUUUGAGGCAUUUUUCCCCCAAUAAUUUGAUUUUAGGGUUUUUUUCACUCCAAUAUUUUCAGGUUUUUUGGCGUUUUCCCCAAUAUUUUUAUUUUUUUCCUGUUUUUUCCCCAAACCGCG
rnacentral:lncRNA from 12 species